rnacentral:lncRNA from 1 species
CUCCGAACACAUCCAAACAUCAGAAGGAACAAACUCCGGAUACGCAGCCUUUCAGAACUGUAACAGUCACCAGGAGGGUCCGCGGCUUCCUUCUUUAAGUCAGUGAAACCAAGAACCCACCAAUUCUGGACGCAAAAGAUGGUGCCAGAAGUGGGAUCUCAAGUAGAGCUUCCCAUGACCCCCAGAAGUGCUGAAUGAACACACAAGGUACCGGGUGCAGGACCACUUGUGUCCAAGGAUUUCCCAGAGUGGCUCAGGAUCUUGGAAUCUGAAGAUUGGAUCUUCUGAAAACAUCAGAGAAAGACUCUCCUUGCCAUCCACACUGCAACAAAACUUUGGAACCUUGAACCUUGGAUACAUAAUCUCACAACUGAGAAGGAUCCCUCCACAUUCUUGGAACUGUACACCCAUUGGAACCCUUAAAGUAAAACUAACCAGGAAAGUUUCUCCCCAGAAGAUGGCAUCCUUGAUGUGAACAGCUUUUCCCAAGAUCACAGAUCAACACUUCUACUAUCAUGAGACUCUUACCUUUGAAUAUUUUCCUUGUUUAUGCCUCUGUGAACAAUAGAAAUGAAAAGGGGUCUAUUAUGUGCACUUACAGGGUAUACUUUUAUUUGUUAAGAACUUUGCAGCCAGUAUUAUACAUGAAUAACCUUAUACUUAGAUAGAUUAAAAAAUGAAGUCCCAAGGUAGGGGAGAAACUUUAAUGGUACAUACAUUGCCUCAUAAUCCGUCAAAACUCCUUUUAACCUACAUCAUGGGUUAAAGAGAACAUUGCCAGGAGGCCUUCACUCUUCCACAAGGACAUCAUUUGUUAGGUCUUUUUUCCAUGAUUUAGAAUAAAUAGGCAAUAAUUAGAAAUGUAUCCCUCAUAAUAGGCUUUAUAGCAGAUUCUACUGUGAAGGUUAAGGUUACACAACAGACUUUAAAUUCUCAUGUGAAAGUUACGUUAAAUAAUAGAAUUGGCUAAACAGAACAGUAACUUUGCAGCUGCCAACACUUGUGGCCUAUAGAGAAAUACAUCAAAUGUAGAUUAUAAAAAUUGAGUUGUAGGGGAUUAACGAAAAGACUACUCAGUCAAGCAAGUAGAUCUUCAUCUAGUUCAUUCUUUAAUCUACUUAAUUUUAAGUGGUUUGGUUUAUGGGAACCCUGGGUAAGGAGCAUACUCCAAACUCUUGGUAUUAUCCUCCCAAUAGUGAUAAUAAUAAUCUCCUUGGUGCACUGUAUUCUCUCAAAGGUUUUAAAUGUUUGCAUGCAGCCAUCUCUAGAAUGUCAAAUGGUCUCUCCAACAGGAAUGACAAAAGCUGAAAGAAAUGAGUGACCAUAAGGAUACUGUAACCUACAAAUGACGUGCUGAGACCAGAAACCCAAAAUGAUGGUAACAGAGAGUGACACUAAGGCCCUAAGUUUUGGUCACACUCUCACCUAAGUGAGAACCUGACCUGAAAGGGGGAAUUUUUUAAACAAAAUUAUGGAAGGCCAUUGUUUUGAACUAAGCUCUUGCACUAGGCCCCAACAGGCCAAACCAAACUAAAAUGGAGUUACUCAUGCUAAAUGUGACAUAAACAAACUAAGACUUGAAGAAAACACAUAGAUCAUAAAACAGACCAGGUUUUGUUUUUCUCCUGUAAACAGGAUGUUCCCGCAUAAGGAGGUACCCUCUACUCAAUCCCUGUGCCUACCUUUGUAAAACUCGCCGUUCUACUGUUUCCCAGUGGGUUUCAAGACCAAAUAAGUACAUUUACAAUGGUGAUAGUGACAUCAAUAGCUAAAGUUUUGGUCAUUCUCUCGAAAUUGAGAGAAUGACCAAAAGUGGGGAAUUGUUAAAGCAAACUAAAUACGGCCUGAGAAGGACUGCAUACUUCUAUAUUUGAGUCCUUGUGGAUGAACUGCAACCUAGCUUAAUAGGUACAAGAUUGAAAACCUAACUUAGGAGUGUGCACUUCUAACAAUAGCUAAGUCUUGCCCAAUGCCAAUGGCCAUAUGUCAACCAUUCAUACACUGCUGAGUGUUCAAACUGUGUUCAAAUAGGGCAAAUGUCAAGCUGUGACCUAUCCAGCUGUUCUGUAACUCACUUCCAAUUUCUGUACAUCA